GGUAGUCCACGCCGUAAACGAUGUCGACUUGGAGGUUGUGCCCUUGAGGCGUGGCUUCCGGAGCUAACGCGUUAAGUCGACCGCCUGGGGAGUACGGCCGCAAGGUUAAAACUCAAAUGAAUUGACGGGGGCCCGCACAAGCGGUGGAGCAUGUGGUUUAAUUCGAUGCAACGCGAAGAACCUUACCUACUCUUGACAUCCAGAGAACUUAGCAGAGAUGCUUUGGUGCCUUCGGGAACUCUGAGACAGGUGCUGCAUGGCUGUCGUCAGCUCGUGUUGUGAAAUGUUGGGUUAAGUCCCGCAACGAGCGCAACCCUUAUCCUUUGUUGCCAGCGGUUCGGCCGGGAACUCAAAGGAGACUGCCAGUGAUAAACUGGAGGAAGGUGGGGAUGACGUCAAGUCAUCAUGGCCCUUACGAGUAGGGCUACACACGUGCUACAAUGGCGCAUACAAAGAGAAGCGACCUCGCGAGAGCAAGCGGACCUCAUAAAGUGCGUCGUAGUCCGGAUUGGAGUCUGCAACUCGACUCCAUGAAGUCGGAAUCGCUAGUAAUCGUAGAUCAGAAUGCUACGGUGAAUACGUUCCCGGGCCUUGUACACACCGCCCGUCACACCAUGGGAGUGGGUUGCAAAAGAAGUAGGUAGCUUAACCUUCGGGAGGGCGCUUACCACUUUGUGAUUCAUGACUGGGGUGAAGUCGUAACAAGGUAACCGUAGGGGAACCUGC
rnacentral:rRNA from 1 species